GCUGUGGAACACGUGACCAUGCUGCCUCGUGCAGGACCCCAGCCAGAAGUUUUGGAAAAGUCCUGGGAGAAGACGAGUUUCACUGCUUGCGUGUGGGGCGGAGCAGGUAGCUCUCUCAAACACUGCAGCGUGAUUGUUGCGUUACUCUGCCCUGAUCACAGACAGCACCGUCCUCGGAGACACAGAGCUGCUAAGAACAAUGUAUGGCGGAGAAAACUGUUUGUUCGAAAGCCUGGUUACCAUUCACUUGAGCUGAUGCUAACAAUGAUCCUUCUGUGCAACUUGUUUGCAGUUGAGAGCGGAGAUUCGAACAAUUUGUCAGAUAUCCAGAUAAAAAGUGCACGACUUUGCGCAGUUGGUUUCUUCGUUAAACAUGUCUAUCCUUUAUACGGGCUUAUCCGUCUACAACGUCACAAUCACAGGGGCUUACGUUGUCCUUGCAUGCAAGGCUGUGUAAUACGACAAAGUUAUUUUAUUUUCCGCGAUCGCUAGAUUCUGACUGUGAAUUUGGCUUGUAAGCUUUUUGUCUGCUAACAACAUAAACAAUAUGUUAGUGAAUGGUUUUGGGCCUUGUACACUACUCAUCAUACCAUGAUGCACUUAAUUACUAGUGUUUUUUUUCUUCCAAAAUGUAUUAGUGUAAUUGUUUUACUGUGCAUGGAAUUCUGGAAUUGUAGAAUGAAUUGAAGACGAAGGCACUAUAAUGUAAUUGCUAACCUUGCGUUUUUUUCUUCUGUUUUAGCAAUUGUUGUCUGAUGGCUGAACAAAAAUUUAAUCCUGUAUGGCAUUUCACCAGGCCAACACCAGGAAAAGCCACGUGCAAUAAAUUGGAUUAGAACUGCAGAUAACAUGCACAUUCCUUUUUGUAUUGUUUACAAAUUUUAGGAGUUUGCUGCUAUAUUUUGUGCUAAAAGAGAUUUCGAUGCUGCUAUUUUUAUUCUUUGUUUGUUAUUGUUUACAAGUUGUAUUGUGUUUUUGUUAAUUUUAUAUUUAAAUUUACACAAGUCAGUAUUCAAUAAAUGCUAAGUUGAGA